CGAACGCUGGCGGCGUGCCUAAUACAUGCAAGUCGAACGGUCUUUCUAUGGAAGCUUGCUUCCACUGAGAAGAUAGUGGCGAACGGGUGAGUAACACGUGGGUAACCUGCCCAUAAGAGGGGGAUAACAUCCGGAAACGGGUGCUAAUACCGCAUAGUUUUCUUGAUCGCAUGAUUGAGAAAGGAAAGACGGCCUUUGUGCUGUCGCUUAUGGAUGGACCCGCGGCGUAUUAGUUAGUUGGUGAGGUAACGGCUCACCAAGACGAUGAUACGUAGCCGACCUGAGAGGGUGAUCGGCCACAUUGGGACUGAGACACGGCCCAAACUCCUACGGGAGGCAGCAGUAGGGAAUCUUCCGCAAUGGACGAAAGUCUGACGGAGCAACGCCGCGUGAGUGAAGAAGGUUUUCGGAUUCCGUAAAACUCUGUUGUCAGAGAAGAACAAGUUGGAGAGUAACUGCUCCAGCCUUGACGGCAUCUGACCAGAAAGCCACGGCUAACUACGUGCCAGCAGCAGC
rnacentral:rRNA from 1 species